UACGGGGGGGGCAAGCGUUGUUCGGAAUUACUGGGCGUAAAGCGUGCGCAGGCGGCUUUGCAAGACAGAUGUGAAAUCCCCGGGCUCAACCUGGGAACUGCAUUUGUGACUGCAAGGCUAGAGUACGGUAGAGGGGGAUGGAAUUCCGCGUGUAGCAGUGAAAUGCGUAGAUAUGCGGAGGAACACCGAUGGCGAGGGCAAUCCCCUGGACCUGUACUGACGCUCAUGCACGAAAGCGUGGGGAGCAAACAGG
rnacentral:rRNA from 1 species